rnacentral:rRNA from 1 species
CUUGACACUGAACAUUGAGCCUUGAUGUGUAGGAUAGGUGGGAGGCUUUGAAGUGUGGACGCCAGUCUGCGUGGAGCCGACCUUGAAAUACCACCCUUUAAUGUUUGAUGUUCUAACGUGGACCCGUAAUCCGGGUUGCGGACAGUGUCUGGUGGGUAGUUUGACUGGGGCGGUCUCCUCCUAAAGAGUAACGGAGGAGCACGAAGGUUGGCUAAUCCUGGUCGGACAUCAGGAGGUUAGUGCAAUGGCAUAAGCCA